AAGACCUUGCACUUUUGGAGCGGCCGAUGUCUGAUUAGCUAGUUGGUGGGGUAAUGGCCUACCAAAGCUUCGAUCAGUAGCUGGUCUGAGAGGACGGCCAGCCACACUGGGACUGAGACACGGCCCAGACUCCUACGGGAGGCAGCAGUGGGGAAUUUUGGACAAUGGGCGCAAGCCUGAUCCAGCCAUGCCGCGUGGGUGAAGAAGGCCUUCGGGUUGUAAAGCUCUUUCAGCCGGGAAGAAAAGGUUGCGAUUAAUAAUCGCAAUUUAUGACGGUACCGGAAGAAGAAGCACCGGCUAACUACGUGCCAGCAGCCGCGGUAAUACGUAGGGUGCGAGCGUUAAUCGGAAUUACUGGGCGUAAAGGGUGCGCAGGCGGUUUUGUAAGUCAGAUGUGAAAUCCCCGGGCUUAACCUGGGAACU
rnacentral:rRNA from 1 species